rnacentral:rRNA from 1 species
UACGUAGGGGGCAAGCGUUGUCCGGAAUCAUUGGGCGUAAAGAGCGUGUAGGCGGUCCGGUAAGUCGGCUGUGAAAGUCCAGGGCUCAACCCUGGGAUGCCGGUGGAUACUGUCGGGCUAGAGUACGGAAGAGGCGAGUGGAAUUCCCGGUGUAGCGGUGAAAUGCGCAGAUAUCGGGAGGAACACCAAUUGCGAAGGCAGCUCGCUGGGACGUCACUGACGCUGAGACGCGAAAGCGUGGGGAGCAAACAGG